CCUACGGGAGACAGCAGUGGGGAAUAUUGCACAAUGGGGGAAACCCUGAUGCAGCGACGCCGCGUGAGUGAAGAAGUAAUUCGUUAUGUAAAGCUCUAUCAGCAGGGAAGAAAAUGACGGUACCUGAGUAAGAAGCCCCGGCUAACUACGUGCCAGCAGCCGCGGUAAUACGUAGGGGGCAAGCGUUAUCCGGAUUUACUGGGUGUAAAGGGAGCGUAGACGGCAGUGCAAGUCUGGAGUGAAAGGCGGGGGCUCAACCCCCGGACUGCACUGGAAACUGUACGGCUUGAGUGCAGGAGAGGUAAGUGGAAUUCCUAGUGUAGCGGUGAAAUGCGUAGAUAUUAGGAGGAACACCAGUGGCGAAGGCGGCUUACUGGACUGUAACUGACGUUGAGGCUCGAAAGCGUGGGGAGCAAACAGGAUUAGAUACCCCAGUAGUC
rnacentral:rRNA from 1 species